GAUGAACGCUGGCGGCGUGCCUAAUACAUGCAAGUCGAGCGAACGGACGAGAAGCUUGCUUCUCUGAUGUUAGCGGCGGACGGGUGAGUAACACGUGGAUAACCUACCUAUAAGACUGGGAUAACUUCGGGAAACCGGAGCUAAUACCGGAUAAUAUUUUGAACCGCAUGGUUCAAAAGUGAAAGACGGUCUUGCUGUCACUUAUAGAUGGAUCCGCGCUGCAUUAGCUAGUUGGUAAGGUAACGGCUUACCAAGGCAACGAUGCAUAGCCGACCUGAGAGGGUGAUCGGCCACACUGGAACUGAGACACGGUCCAGACUCCUACGGGAGGCAGCAGUAGGGAAUCUCCCGCAAUGGGCGGAAGCCUGACGGAGCAACGCCGCGUGAGUGAUGAAGGUCUUCGGAUCGUAAAACUCUGUUAUUAGGGAAGAACAUAUGUGUAAGUAACUGUGCACAUCUUGACGGUACCUAAUCAGAAAGCCACGGCUAACUACGUGCCAGCAGCCGCGGUAAUACGUAGGUGGCAAGCGUUAUCCGGAAUUAUUGGGCGUAAAGCGCGCGUAGGCGGUUUUUUAAGUCUGAUGUGAAAGCCCACGGCUCAACCGUGGAGGGUCAUUGGAAACUGGAAAACUUGAGUGCAGAAGAGGAAAGUGGAAUUCCAUGUGUAGCGGUGAAAUGCGCAGAGAUAUGGAGGAACACCAGUGGCGAAGGCGACUUUCUGGUCUGUAACUGACGCUGAUGUGCGAAAGCGUGGGGAUCAAACAGGAUUAGAUACCCUGGUAGUCCACGCCGUAAACGAUGAGUGCUAAGUGUUAGGGGGUUUCCGCCCCUUAGUGCUGCAGCUAACGCAUUAAGCACUCCGCCUGGGGAGUACGACCGCAAGGUUGAAACUCAAAGGAAUUGACGGGGACCCGCACAAGCGGUGGAGCAUGUGGUUUAAUUCGAAGCAACGCGAAGAACCUUACCAAAUCUUGACAUCCUUUGACAACUCUAGAGAUAGAGCUUUCCCCUUCGGGGGACAAAGUGACAGGUGGUGCAUGGUUGUCGUCAGCUCGUGUCGUGAGAUGUUGGGUUAAGUCCCGCAACGAGCGCAACCCUUAAGCUUAGUUGCCAUCAUUAAGUUGGGCACUCUAAGUUGACUGCCGGUGACAAACCAGAGGAAGGUGGGGAUGACGUCAAAUCAUCAUGCCCCUUAUGAUUUGGGCUACACACGUGCUGCAAUGGACAAUACAAAGGGCAGCGAAACCGCGAGGUCAAGCAAAUCCCAUAAAGUUGUUCUCAGUUCGGAUUGUAGUCUGCAACUCGACUACAUGAAGCUGGAAUCGCUAGUAAUCGUAGAUCAGCAUGCUACGGUGAAUACGUUCCCGGGUCU
rnacentral:rRNA from 1 species